rnacentral:rRNA from 1 species
UACGGAGGGUGCAAGCGUUGUUCGGAUUUAUUGGGCGUAAAGCGCGUGUAGGCGGUUUGUUAAGUCUGAUGUGAAAGCCCUGGGCUCAACCUGGGAAGUGCAUUGGAAACUGGCAGACUUGAAUACGGGAGAGGGUAGUGGAAUUCCUAGUGUAGGAGUGAAAUCCGUAGAUAUUAGGAGGAACACCGGUGGCGAAGGCGGCUACCUGGACCGAUAUUGACGCUGAGACGCGAAAGCGUGGGGAGCAAACAGGAUUAGAAACCCCGGUAGU